rnacentral:rRNA from 1 species
CCUACGGGGGGCAGCAGUGGGGAAUAUUGCACAAUGGGCGCAAGCCUGAUGCAGCCAUGCCGCGUGUGUGAAGAAGGCCUUCGGGUUGUAAAGCACUUUCAGCGGGGAGGAAGGCGGUGAGGUUAAUAACCUCAUCGAUUGACGUUACCGGCAGAAGAAGCACCGGCUAACUCCGUGCCAGCAGCCGCGGUAAUACGGAGGGUGCAAGCGUUAAUCGGAAUUACUGGGCGUAAAGCGCACGCAGGCGGUCUGUCAAGUCGGAUGUGAAAUCCCCGGGCUCAACCUGGGAACUGCAUUCGAAACUGGCAGGCUAGAGUCUUGUAGAGGGGGGUAGAAUUCCAGGUGUAGCGGUGAAAUGCGUAGAGAUCUGGAGGAAUACCGGUGGCGAAGGCGGCCCCCUGGACAAAGACUGACGCUCAGGUGCGAAAGCGUGGGGAGCAAACAGGAUUAGAUACCCCAGUAGUC